rnacentral:misc_RNA from 1 species
UACGAAGGGGGCGAGCGUUAAUCGGAAUUACUGGGCGUAAAGCGCGCGUAGGCGGCUCUGUAAGUCGGAUGUGAAAGCCCUGGGCUUAACCUGGGAAUUGCAUUCGAUACUGCAGAGCUAGAGUAUGGUAGAGGGAAGUGGAAUUUCCGGUGUAGCGGUGAAAUGCGUAGAUAUCGGAAGGAACACCAGUGGCGAAGGCGACUUCCUGGGCCAAUACUGACGCUGAGGUGCGAAAGCGUGGGGAGCAAACAGG